AGAGCGUACGGUGGAUGCCUUGGCACCAGGAGCCGAUGAAGGACGUAGGAGGCUGCGAUAAGCCUCGGGGAGCUGUCAACCGAGCUGUGAUCCGAGGAUGUCCGAAUGGGGAAACCCAGCACGAGUGAUGUCGUGUUACCCGCGCCUGAAUAUAUAGGGCGUGUGGAGGGAACGUGGGGAAGUGAAACAUCUCAGUACCCACAGGAAGAGAAAACAACCGUGAUUCCGUGAGUAGUGGCGAGCGAAAGCGGAAGAGGCUAAACCAUGGGUGUGUGAUAGCCGGCAGGUGUUGCAUUCGUGGGGUUGUGGGGUUCAUUUUGUCUGUUCUGCCGAGCAGGCCAACAGUAAGAAAUCACAGGGUUAGUGGAAGUGGUCUGGAACGGCCUGUCGUAGAGGGUGAGAAUCCCGUACACGAAAACUUUGUGACUGUUGUAAUGGAAACCCAAGUAGCACCGGGCCCGUGAAAUCUGGUGUGAAUCUGUCGGGACCACCCGAUAAGCCUGAAUACUCCCUGGUGACCGAUAGCGGACUAGUACCGUGAGGGAAAGGUGAAAAGUACCCCGGGAGGGGAGUGAAAUAGUACCUGAAACCGUGCGCUUACAAUCCGUCAGAGCCUUCGAACAGUUUACUGUUGGGGGUGAUGGCGUGCCUUUUGAAGAAUGAGCCUGCGAGUUAGUGGCAUGUCGCGAGGUUAACCCGUGUGGGGUAGCCGUAGCGAAAGCGAGUCCGAAUAGGGCGAUCGUAGUGGCAUGCUCUAGACCCGAAGCGGAGUGAUCUACCCAUGGCCAGGUUGAAGCGACGGUAAGACGUCGUGGAGGACCGAACCCACUUAGGUUGAAAACUGAGGGGAUGAGUUGUGGGUAGGGGUGAAAGGCCAAUCAAACUCCGUGAUAGCUGGUUCUCCCCGAAAUGCAUUUAGGUGCAGCGUCGCGUGUUUCUCACCGGAGGUAGAGCUACUGGAUGGUCUAGGGGGCCCACAAGCUUACCGAAAUCAGCCAAACUCCGAAUGCCGGUGAGUGAGAGCGCGGCAGUGAGACUGCGGGCGAUAAGGUUCGUAGUCGAGAGGGAAACAGCCCAGAUCGCCAGCUAAGGUCCCUAAGCGUGUACUAAGUGGAAAAGGAUGUGGGGUCGCGAAGACAACCAGGAGGUUGGCUUAGAAGCAGCCACCCUUGAAAGAGUGCGUAAUAGCUCACUGGUCAAGUGAUCCUGCGCCGACAAUGUAGCGGGGCUCAAGUACACCACCGAAGCUGCGGCAUUCACGCAAUAGCCCCCAGUUGAUCCAAGGAUUUUCUGGCAGGUGUGUGGAUGGGUAGGGGAGCGUCGUGUGGCCAUGGAAGCGGCAGGGUGACCUAGCCGUGGAGGCCACACGAGUGAGAAUGCAGGCAUGAGUAGCGAAAGACGAGUGAGAAACUCGUCCGCCGAAUGACCAAGGGUUCCUGGGCCAGGUUAAUCCGCCCAGGGUGAGUCGGGACCUAAGACGAGGCCGACAGGCGUAGCCGAUGGACAACGGGUUGAUAUUCCCGUACCCGUGUGAACGCGCCCAUGGUGAAUCAGUGAUACUAACCAUCCUGAAGCCACGAGAAGACCUUCGGGUCUCGAGUUGGUGGAUGCAUGGGACCUGAUCUGGUAGUAGCCAAGCGAUGGGGUGACGCAGGAAGGUAGCUGAGCCAGUCAGUGGUAAUACUGGUGUAAGCGUGUAGGGCGUGACCUAGGCAAAUCCGGGUCACACAUAGCCUGAGACGUGAUGCGUAGCCGAUUGAGGCGAAUUCAGUGAUCCUAUGCUGCCGAGAAAAGCCUCUAGCGAGCUUUCACACGGCCCGUACCCCAAACCGACACAGGUGGUCAGGUAGAGAAUACUAAGGCGAUCGAGAUAACUAUGGUUAAGGAACUCGGCAAAAUGCCCCCGUAACUUCGGGAGAAGGGGGGCCCUGUUUGGUGACGACAUUUACUGUCUGAGCUGGGUGGGGCCGCAGAGACCAGUGAGAAGCGACUGUUUACUAAAAACACAGGUCCGUGCGAAGUCGUAAGACGAUGUAUACGGACUGACGCCUGCCCGGUGCUGGAAGGUUAAGAGGACCGGUUAGUUCCUUCGGGAGCGAAGCUGAGAAUUUAAGCCCCAGUAAACGGCGGUGGUAACUAUAACCAUCCUAAGGUAGCGAAAUUCCUUGUCGGGUAAGUUCCGACCUGCACGAAUGGCGUAACGACUUCUCAGCUGUCUCAACCGUAGACUCGGCGAAAUUGCAUUACGAGUAAAGAUGCUCGUUACGCGCGGCAGGACGAAAAGACCCCGGGACCUUCACUACAGCUUGGUAUUGGUGUUCGGUUCGGUUUGUGUAGGAUAGGUGGGAGACUGUGAAACGGUGACGCCAGUUAUCGUGGAGUCGUUGUUGAAAUACCACUCUGAUCGAAUUGGACCUCUAACCUCGGACCAUGAUCUGGUUCAGGGACAGUGCCUGGUGGGUAGUUUAACUGGGGCGGUUGCCUCCCAAAAUGUAACGGAGGCGCCCAAAGGUUCCCUCAGCCUGGUUGGCAAUCAGGUGUCGAGUGCAAGUGCACAAGGGAGCUUGACUGUGAGACUGACAGGUCGAGCAGGGACGAAAGUCGGGACUAGUGAUCCGGCACCGGCAAGUGGAAGCGGUGUCGCUCAACGGAUAAAAGGUACCCCGGGGAUAACAGGCUGAUCUUCCCCAAGAGUCCAUAUCGACGGGAU
rnacentral:rRNA from 1 species